UCUGCAGGAUCACCAGACUAGAGAAUCCUGAGGGAAAAGCUUCUUCUCCUUUGCUUUUGAUCCAGUAUCUGUGCCAGCCCCCAGCACCUGUGGUAUCCAGACCUGCUUUUGGGAAGGUCAGAGGCUGGAAACUAUCAGACUCCAGGGAAUAGUGGUGAAAAUGUGAAGACAGCUGCUUCCAGAGCUCCUACUCAGCAGGGGACAGACAAGUAAACAAGAGGAACCACACUCACAAGAAAGAAUAAAGGAGCCAGGCAUG